AGAGUUUGAUCAUGGCUCAGAUUGAACGCUGGCGGCAGGCCUAACACAUGCAAGUCGAGCGGUAGCACAGAGAGCUUGCUCUCGGGUGACGAGCGGCGGACGGGUGAGUAAUGUCUGGGAAACUGCCUGAUGGAGGGGGAUAACUACUGGAAACGGUAGCUAAUACCGCAUAAUGUCGCAAGACCAAAGUGGGGGACCUUCGGGCCUCAUGCCAUCAGAUGUGCCCAGAUGGGAUUAGCUAGUAGGUGGGGUAACGGCUCACCUAGGCGACGAUCCCUAGCUGGUCUGAGAGGAUGACCAGCCACACUGGAACUGAGACACGGUCCAGACUCCUACGGGAGGCAGCAGUGGGGAAUAUUGCACAAUGGGCGCAAGCCUGAUGCAGCCAUGCCGCGUGUGUGAAGAAGGCCUUCGGGUUGUAAAGCACUUUCAGCGGGGAGGAAGGCGUUAAGGUUAAUAACCUCAUCGAUUGACGUUACCCGCAGAAGAAGCACCGGCUAACUCCGUGCCAGCAGCCGCGGUAAUACGGAGGGUGCAAGCGUUAAUCGGAAUUACUGGGCGUAAAGCGCACGCAGGCGGUCUGUCAAGUCGGAUGUGAAAUCCCCGGGCUUAACCUGGGAACUGCAUUCGAAACUGGCAGGCUAGAGUCUUGUAGAGGGGGGUAGAAUUCCAGGUGUAGCGGUGAAAUGCGUAGAGAUCUGGAGGAAUACCGGUGGCGAAGGCGGCCCCCUGGACAAAGACUGACGCUCAGGUGCGAAAGCGUGGGGAGCAAACAGGAUUAGAUACCCUGGUAGUCCACGCCGUAAACGAUGUCGAUUUGGAGGUUGUGCCCUUGAGGCGUGGCUUCCGGAGCUAACGCGUUAAAUCGACCGCCUGGGGAGUACGGCCGCAAGGUUAAAACUCAAAUGAAUUGACGGGGGCCCGCACAAGCGGUGGAGCAUGUGGUUUAAUUCGAUGCAACGCGAAGAACCUUACCUGGUCUUGACAUCCACAGAACUUUCCAGAGAUGGAUUGGUGCCUUCGGGAACUGUGAGACAGGUGCUGCAUGGCUGUCGUCAGCUCGUGUUGUGAAAUGUUGGGUUAAGUCCCGCAACGAGCGCAACCCUUAUCCUUUGUUGCCAGCGGUCCGGCCGGGAACUCAAAGGAGACUGCCAGUGAUAAACUGGAGGAAGGUGGGGAUGACGUCAAGUCAUCAUGGCCCUUACGACCAGGGCUACACACGUGCUACAAUGGCAUAUACAAAGAGAAGCGACCUCGCGAGAGCAAGCGGACCUCAUAAAGUAUGUCGUAGUCCGGAUUGGAGUCUGCAACUCGACUCCAUGAAGUCGGAAUCGCUAGUAAUCGUAGAUCAGAAUGCUACGGUGAAUACGUUCCCGGGCCUUGUACACACCGCCCGUCACACCAUGGGAGUGGGUUGCAAAAGAAGUAGGUAGCUUAACCUUCGGGAGGGCGCUUACCACUUUGUGAUUCAUGACUGGGGUGAAGUCGUAACAAGGUAACCGUAGGGGAACCUGCGGUUGGAUCACCU
rnacentral:rRNA from 1 species